GCAAGCUGACACAGAUGGGUGGGACUUGGAAGUACGGUUUUCCCCUAAGAGUGGAGGGGAAGAGGUUGAGCAGCUGUCCCAUGUCAGACCCUUAAAAAAAAAAAAAAAAAAAAGCAGCAUCUCAUGGAAUUGCAACAACGCCCUGGUUAGUAAGUUCAGCUCUUUCUACUUCACCAAGGACCAAGCUCAGUCAACAGGCUUCAGAAAGCUACUUGGCCCCCCUCCUUCCUCUCCCCUUUCUUUCCUUGCCUUUCCUCCCUUCCCCUUCCUUUCCUUGCAGGGCCAGGUUGGAGCGCAGGGCCUUCUUCUCACACACCCCAACAGAGCUUUCCUCCUGAGCUGUGUUCCAGCCCAUCCAUCUCAUCUAUCCCAAAGCACGUGUGCACAUUCCACAUUCCACUUAGCACCCAGGAGAAGGACCACUGGGUUCUGGCCCGGAACGGAAACAACACUGCUGUGUGUGGCCAAGGUGUGGGUGGAGGGAAGCUAUGCCAUUUGGUGGAGAAACAUCACAUUUUGAAGGGAGUUGUAUUAGCUGAAGAUGGUGAAUUUGUCUGGUAAUUGCUUCCUAUUAUAAAUCUAAGCAACGUUUAACACCACCCAGGAAUGCAGAAUUAUCGGGAACGCUAAAUGGAGAAAGGCUCUUUGGCUAAGUUUUGUUUUUUUUUCCUUGUUGAAAACAAGUGUUUUGGAGGGGGUGUGUGGUGCGCGUGUUAAAGAACAUCAUUUUGUGGUGCUUAGCGAGACUGUGGGAUGUGGGUGGCAUGGUCCACAGAUUCCUGCAGGGUGGUGACACUUGUGUUGGUCUGCAGGUAUGCCUAGUUGCACUCACCAUAGACAAGAAUUACCUACCAAGGAGGGGAAGGAGUGUGGCUGCUCUGCUGUUUGUUGUAUUGGUGACAUUGGUGGGGAUCUUUGCUGGAGUCUGAAUGUCCUUCCCCUUACUUUAUGUUGAAAUCCCUGUUCCCAGGGCGAUGGCAUCAGGAGGUGAUAAGGUCAAGAGGGCGAAGCCCUCGGGAUUGGAAUCCUGCUGGCUUCAAAGGGAGCUGCCUGCACCCCACCCCGCAGAAGGACCCAUGGAGAGCUCACCAUCCAUCUACUGCUGACUUUCCUCGUUGCCAUGGCAAAGGAUCAAACAGAAGCAACUUGAGGGAGGUGCUGCCUUUGUUGGCUCACGGUUUUCUGGGUUCAGUCUGAUCCGGUGGAGAAAGCAUGGCAGAUGUCUGGAGCUAGUGGCUAAACUUGUUCAGAUCUUUGUGGAUAGGGAAGCAGGGCUGAGUUCUAUCCCUCCAGGGGACCCAGUACUGCUAGGUACUAGACUCAGAGUCCCAAAGUUUCCCCAGCCUUCCAAAGCAAUACCUUCAAUAGAGGAGCUUGAGCCUGUGAGAGAUUAAGCAAAUCUUCACAGUUGGGAAGCAAAGGCUAAGUUUGUCAGAGCUUUGCCCUUGUACUUCCAGCCCCAGGUCUCUAGAGCAGUGACUCUAUAGUUCAUAAGGCUACCCAGCCUGUGAUAUUUUCAG
ensembl:lncRNA